rnacentral:rRNA from 1 species
CUUCAGUUCAUCCUAGACAGGAUCCGUGCACGCCUCGUGGGAUGGAAAGGCCGUCUGUUAUCCAUCGCCGGCCGGAGGGUUUUGGUCAGGAGUGUUCUGACGGUGUUGCCAGCAUACGCGCUGUCCGUCCUCAGGGCACCUGUCAAGUUUCUCAAGGACAUUGACAAGGUACGUGGACGCUUCCUUUGGGUGGGAGAUGAGGAGCUGACCGGCGGAAAAUGCAAAGUUAGUUGG